UACAGAGGUCCCAAGCGUUGUUCGGAUUCACUGGGCGUAAAGGGUGCGUGGGCGGGUCUUUAAGUCAGGGGUGAAAUCCUGGAGCUCAACUCCAGAACUGCCUUUGAUACUGAGGAUCUUGAGUUCAGGAGAGGUGAGUGGAACUGCGAGUGUAGAGGUGAAAUUCGUAGAUAUUCGCAAGAACACCAGUGGCGAAGGCGGCUCACUGGCCCGAUACUGACGCUGAGGCACGAAAGCGUGGGGAGCAAACAGG
rnacentral:rRNA from 1 species